GUUCGCUCCUGCACAUUCCAUGCUUUAGUCUAUUUUCUUUUUACUUAUUUGAGUUAGAGGCUUAAUAGGCCGAGUAAGGGCCCCUUCUGCCCUUUAGGGAUAGGGGCGAGACAGCUAGUGCCAUUUUUCUUGAAGGCUGAAAGUCCUACAUAUACCGACGGCUCCUUCUUAAUUUAAUGCCAAAAGCGGGGCGGAAGGA
rnacentral:lncRNA from 1 species